rnacentral:tRNA from 1 species
GGGGUUGUGGCUCAGUGGUAGAGCACUUGCCUGGCAUGCACGAGGCACUAGGUUCCAUCCCCAGCACCACA